CCUUGACAUACUAAGAACUUUCCAGAGAUGGAUUGGUGCCUUCGGGAACUUAGAUACAGGUGCAGCAUGGCUGUCGUCAGCUCGUGUCGUGAGAUGUUGGGUUAAGUCCCGCAACGAGCGCAACCCUUUUCCUUAUUUGCCAGCGGGUCAUGCCGGGAACUUUAAGGAUACUGCCAGUGACAAACUGGAGGAAGGCGGGGACGACGUCAAGUCAUCAUGGCCCUUACGGCCAGGGCUACACACGUGCUACAAUGGUCGGUACAAAGGGUUGCUACCUCGCGAGAGGAUGCUAAUCUCAAAAAGCCGAUCGUAGUCCGGAUCGCAGUCUGCAACUCGACUGCGUGAAGUCGGAAUCGCUAGUAAUCGCGGAUCAGAAUGCCGCGGUGAAUACGUUCCCGGGCCUUGUACACACCGCCCGUCACACCAUGGGAGUUUGUUGCACCAGAAGUAGGUAGUCUAACCGCAAGGAGGACGCUUACCACGGUGUGGCCGAUGACUGGGGUGAAGUCGUAACAAGGUAAGCGUAGAUGA
rnacentral:rRNA from 1 species